rnacentral:rRNA from 1 species
GAUGAACGCUAGCGGCAGGCUUAAUACAUGCAAGUCGAGGGGUAGCAAGAUUGUAGCAAUACAAUUGUUGACGACCGGCAAACGGGUGCGGAACACGUACACAACCUUCCUACAAGUGGGGAAUAGCCCAGAGAAAUUUGGAUUAAUACCCCGUAACAUAGCGAUGUGGCAUCACAUUGCUAUUAUAGCUUCGGCGCUUGUUGAUGGGUGUGCGGCUGAUUAGAUAGUUGGCGGGGUAACGGCACACCAAGUCUACGAUCAGUAGCUGAUGUGAGAGCAUGAUCAGCCACACGGGCACUGAGACACGGGCCCGACUCCUACGGGAGGCAGCAGUAAGGAAUAUUGGACAAUGGACGCAAGUCUGAUCCAGCCAUGCCGCGUGAAGGAUUAAGGUCCUCUGGAUUGUAAACUUCUUUUAUAAGGGACGAAAAAGGGUCUUUCUAGAUCGUCUGACGGUACCUUAUGAAUAAGCACCGGCUAACUCCGUGCCAGCAGCCGCCGUAAGAC